rnacentral:rRNA from 1 species
UACAGAGGGUGCGAGCGUUGUUCGGAAUUACUGGGCGUAAAGCGCGUGUAGGCGGUUCAUUAAGUCAGAUGUGAAAUCCCGGGGCCUAACUCCGGAAGUGCAUUUGAAACUGAUGAGCUGGAGUGAUGUAGAGGAUGGCGGAAUACCCAGUGUAGUGGUGAAAUACGUAGAGAUUGGGUAGAACACCGGUGGCGAAGGCGGCCAUCUAGGCAUUAACUGACGCUGAGACGCGAAAGCGUGGGGAGCAAACAGG